rnacentral:lncRNA from 1 species
AGAAAUUAAUAUUUUGAAUAACUACAUCAGAAGCGUUACUGAAAAUUCUCACGUGUCAUCGUCAUCAACAGAUGUCGAUAAUAAACUAGUAAAUAUUCUUUCCUUAUCAUUCUUAUCCUUCAUCGACCAUGUAAUAUUUGAUUCUCACAUAUACGCUUUAAAAAACGAAUCCACUAACGAUAAACAACUAAUUGAAAAUAAUACAAGCAAUUGCGCUAAAGAUAAUACAAGCAAUUGCGCUAAAGAUAAUACAAGCAAUUGCGCUAAAAACAAUACAAGCAAUUGCGCUAAAAACAAUACAAGCAAUUGUGAUCAUAACAACAUAAAAAUAAAAAAAGAUGAUACUACUAAUACAGAUAAUAAUACCCACACAAUAAAAAAAGAUUCAUUUGGUAAUAAUAAACUAACCUUAAAAAAUAUAAACGAAAGUACAUUUCAAAAGGAUAUCACAAAAUACUCAUAUAAUGCAGAAUGUCAUACUGUUAAUGAAUCUACUAAUUUUAAAAAAAAUACUUCUGUUGCAAACACAAAAAUUGUUUAUAAUCCUGAUAUAAUUAAUUUAUGUCUAACUAAUUUAUAUAACGAAGAUUUAGUAAACAAAUUUAUUGAAAAAAAAAAAAAGAAAAAGUACGAAGAAAAUAUUAAUUUCAAUGAUAAUAAAAGUGACCAUAAAACAAAUAACGUGUUUGGAAUAAACAACCAUACGUCCUCAAACAAUUAUAAAGAUGUUAAAGGAAUUGAAAACAUAAAAACAAAUAUUACCAGAGAAAUGCAUGAUCUAAAAAGUAGUAAUAAAAUGCAAAUCGAAGAAAAAAGCAAUUUAAAAAAAACUGAAAAUAAUUAUUUAAAAGAAACAAAAACUGAAAUAGAAAAAAAACAAAAUACAAAUUUUCAUCAUCAUAAUAAUAAUUCAAUAAAAACAAAUAUUAAUAAUAAAUUAUAUCAAAGAAAUGUUAUAAUUAACAAAAUAAAUGAAACAAUUAAAGCAAAAAGUGAUAGUAAUAAUAAUAAUAAUAAUAACAAUAAUAAAUUACAAAAUUUUGCAUAUAACAAAAAUUAUUCGCUAAAUGAUAUAUUUGAACUUUAAUUAUUUAUUUUUUAUUUAUUUUUUUUUUUUGCAAAAUAUUAACAUUUUAUGAAAUUAUUUACAUUUUUUUUUUUUUUUUAACAUUUAUGGCAUAUGUGUUGGUUUUUUUUUUUUUUUUU